AGGGUUUGAUCAUGGCUCAGGAUGAACGCUGGCGGUGUGUCUAAGGCAUGCAAGUCGAACGAUUCACUUCGGUGAAUAGUGGCAAACGGGUGAGUAACACAUUGGUAACCUACCUCUCAGACGACCAUAACUCGAAGAAAUUUGAGCUAAUAGUCGAUGGUCUCAUAUGACAUAUGUUAUAUGAGUAAAACUCCGGUGCUGAGAGAGGGGCCUAUGGCCUAUCAGCUUGUUGGUAGUGUAAAAGACUACCAAGGCUACGACGGGUAGCGGGUGUGAGAGCACGACCCGCCUCAAUGGGACUGAGACACUGCCCAUACUCCUACGGGAGGCUGCAGUCAAGAAUCUUCCGCAAUGCGCGAAAGCGUGACGGAGCGACACCGCGUGGUCGAAGAAGCACUUCGGUGUGUAAAGACCUUUUACUAGGGAUGAACGAUGACAGUACCUAGAGAAUAAGGGGCUGCUAAACUCGUGCCAGCAGCAGCGGUAAUACGAGUGCCCCAAGCGUUAUCCGGAUUUAUUGGGCGUAAAGCGUGUCCAGGUGGUUUGGUAAGUAACUUGUCAAAUCUCAAGGCUCAACUUUGAGACUGCGAGUUAAACUACUAAACUAGAGAAUGGGAGAGGCAAACGGAAUGGCCGGUGUAGCAGUAAAAUGCGUUAAUAUCGGUUGGAACACCAAAGGCGAAGGCAGUUUGCUGGA
rnacentral:rRNA from 1 species